rnacentral:lncRNA from 1 species
UCAGGGUGGCACCUCAUACUCCUUCUCGUGUCUCUCUUAUGGCUUUAACAAAGCCUUUCUCUUUCUCUUCAUUUAACUCAUAAUUUUAAUUUGUAUCUAAACAACCAAAUCCUUCACUACUUUUCAUCUAUUUUCCUGUUUACCUAGAAUAUUAUCUUCCACCACUAGCCACGACAGAGUACACAAAAAUAAGUACUAAAUUUGUUUCAAUUAUAUGACUUUAUAUAUAAUUAUUUAUUUAUAAUGGAUGAAUUAAAUUAUUAAUUAUGUUAUUUUUAUACAACGAAUUUUUUAUUGGUAAUCUGCCAUAAUAUCAUUUUUAAUUUCAUUUUUUUUUCAAAUCACUUUUUUCAUUUUUUGUUUGUUUGCAACUAUUGCUAUCUAAAUUUUUUGAAAAUUUACUUAUAAGAUAAGUACAUACAUAGUGGUUAACUAUUUUUUCAUUGUUAUAUUAAAAAAUUUAUUUAUUUUAUACAUUAAUAUAUUGUGUACAUAUGAAAAUAUACGGUACAUUGUAAAUACAAAAUAUAUUUUAGCAUUACAAAGAAACCAAGUUUACCAAAAGCUUAUAUUAAAAUACAACAAAUUAAACAGUAAAAAUCAGUUGUAGGCGUG